CAUCCACAGAACUUUCCAGAGAUGGAUUGGUGCCUUCGGGAACUGUGAGACAGGUGCUGCAUGGCUGUCGUCAGCUCGUGUUGUGAAAUGUUGGGUUAAGUCCCGCAACGAGCGCAACCCUUAUCCUUUGUUGCCAGCGGUCCGGCCGGGAACUCAAAGGAGACUGCCAGUGAUAAACUGGAGGAAGGUGGGGAUGACGUCAAGUCAUCAUGGCCCUUACGACCAGGGCUACACACGUGCUACAAUGGCGCAUACAAAGAGAAGCGACCUCGCGAGAGCAAGCGGACCUCAUAAAGUGCGUCGUAGUCCGGAUUGGAGUCUGCAACUCGACUCCAUGAAGUCGGAAUCGCUAGUAAUCGUGGAUCAGAAUGCCACGGUGAAUACGUUCCCGGGCCUUGUACACACCGCCCGUCACACCAUGGGAGUGGGUUGCAAAAGAAGUAGGUAGCUUAACCUUCGGGAGGGCGCUUACCACUUUGUGAUUCAUGACUGGGGUGAAGUCGUAACAAGGUAACCGUAGGGGAAC
rnacentral:rRNA from 1 species